rnacentral:rRNA from 1 species
AUUGAACGCUAGCGGGAUGCUUUACACAUGCAAGUCGAACGGCAGCGCGGACUUCGGUCUGGCGGCGAGUGGCGAACGGGUGAGUAAUGUAUCGGAACGUGCCCAGUAGCGGGGGAUAACUACGCGAAAGCGUAGCUAAUACCGCAUACGCCCUACGGGGGAAAGCAGGGGAUCGUAAGACCUUUCACUAUUGUAGCUUCCGAUAUCGGAUUUGCUAGUUGGUGAGGUAACGGCUCACCAAGGCGACGAUCCGUAGCUGGUUUGAGAGGACGACCAGCCAAAGUGGAAGUGAGACAGGGAAAAGAGUACUAAGGGAGGCAGCAGGGGGGAAGUUUGGACAAUGGGGGCAAACAUGAUCAAGCAAUACCGAGUGGGAGAUGAAGGCCUUAGGGUUGUAAAGCACUGUUGGCAGGAAAGAAAAGAAGAGGGCUAAUAACAAGGGGAAAUGACGGUACCGGAAGAAUAAGCACCGGCUAACUACGUG